ACUCCUGCGGGAGGCAGCAGUGGGGAAUUUUGGACAAUGGGCGAAAGCCUGAUCCAGCAAUGCCGCGUGAGUGAAGAAGGCCUUCGGGUUGUAAAGCUCUUUUGUCAGGGAAGAAACGGUGAGAGCUAAUAUCUCUUGCUAAUGACGGUACCUGAAGAAUAAGCACCGGCUAACUACGUGCCAGCAGCCGCGGUAAUACGUAGGGUGCAAGCGUUAAUCGGAAUUACUGGGCGUAAAGCGUGCGCAGGCGGUUUUGUAAGUCUGAUGUGAAAUCCCCGGGCUCAACCUGGGAAUUGCAUUGGAGACUGAAAGGCUAGAAUCUGGCAGAGGGGGGUAGAAUUCCACGUGUAGCAGUGAAAUGCGUAGAUAUGUGGAGGAACACCGAUGGCGAAGGCAGCCCCCUGGGUCAAGAUUGACGCUCAUGCACGAAAGCGUGGGGAGCAAACAGGAUUAGAAACCCGAGUAGUCCCAUG
rnacentral:rRNA from 1 species